GCUUAUGCAGUAUCUGCCCGCCAGCAAUUAUGUACUCAUAAUGUUGUCUUUCUUGAGGUCCAAGAUACUUUAUGCAUUGUUUCUGAAGCUUAGCUCUUGGACAUUCUUUGAGAUCAACCUUUCUGCCAUCUCCAAGAUCCAACCAAAAGAAGAAGGGCUGACCAGCAUCAGUUUUACACCAUUCUUCAUAAUAGAUAUGCAUGUUAUGUCCAUAUCGAUGGCGUGGAUCA
rnacentral:misc_RNA from 1 species